GACGAACGCUGGCGGCGUGCUUAACACAUGCAAGUCGAACGGAAAGGCCCUGCUUUUGUGGGGUGCUCGAGUGGCGAACGGGUGAGUAACACGUGAGUAACCUGCCCUUGACUUUGGGAUAACUUCAGGAAACUGGGGCUAAUACCGGAUAGGAGCUCCUGCUGCAUGGUGGGGGUUGGAAAGUUUCGGCGGUUGGGGAUGGACUCGCGGCUUAUCAGCUUGUUGGUGAGGUAGUGGCUUACCAAGGCUUUGACGGGUAGCCGGCCUGAAAGGGUGACCGGCCACAUUGGGACUGAGAUACGGCCCAGACUCCUACGGGAGGCAGCAGUGGGGAAUAUUGCACAAUGGGCGGAAGCCUGAUGCAGCAACGCCGCGUGCGGGAUGACGGCCUUCGGGUUGUAAACCGCUUUCGCCUGUGACGAAGCGUGAGUGACGGUAAUGGGUAAAGAAGCACCGGCUAACUACGUG
rnacentral:rRNA from 1 species